rnacentral:rRNA from 1 species
GUGGGGAAUAUUGGACAAUGGGCGCAAGCCUGAUCCAGCCAUGCCGCGUGAGUGAUGAAGGCCUUAGGGUUGUAAAGCUCUUUUGUCCGGGAAGAUAAUGACUGUACCGGAAGAAUAAGCCCCGGCUAACUUCGUGCCAGCAGCCGCGGUAAUACGAAGGGGGCUAGCGUUGUUCGGAAUCACUGGGCGUAAAGCGCACGUAGGCGGACCAUUAAGUCAGGGGUGAAAGCCUGGAGCUCAACUCCAGAACUGCCUUUGAUACUGAUGGUCUCGAGUAUGGAAGAGGUUGGUGGAACUGCGAGUGUAGAGGUGAAAUUCGUAGAUAUUCGCAAGAACACCGGUGGCGAAGGCGGCCAACUGGUCCAUUACUGACGCUGAGGUGCGAAAGCGUGGGGAGCAAACAGGAUUAGAUACCCUAGUAGUCC